GGGGGUUUAGCUCAGUUGGUAGAGCGCAUGCUUUGCAAGCAGGAUGUCAGGAGUUCGAGUCUCCUAACCUCCACCUGUACUGACAAUGA
rnacentral:tRNA from 1 species